rnacentral:lncRNA from 1 species
GCCGUCUCACCUGCCCCCACCCACGGCGCCGUCGGAUCCCAGAGCGGCUGGUGCAAGCUUAAAGUGUUGCUGCCAGACCUUUCUUCUCUUCUAAUUUACCAAGUGAAGAAUGUUGAAAUAUCCAACUAUAAUUUGUGGAUUUCUCCUUUCAAUGCUAUCAUUUUUGGUGCUUCAUGUAUUUUUGAAGCUCUAUUAUUAGCGGAGACCUGAAAGCAGCUUAGCCAUGAGCAGCGCUCAAAUAAGGAAAGAAAUUCUUUGCAAUAAAUAGGGAUCUUUGAAAGGUUUUACGUUGGACCCGCCUUACCGUGGACAGACACUAGAGGGUGCUCCUCGCUCAGAAAGCCGAGUGUUUCCAGGCCCGGGACCUCUGCCAGGAAGCGCUUCGACUGCCGGUUCUGAAACUCUCUCUUUGGGUCUGGUAAUUUACUGGGGAGAACUGGCUGCUGCCUUGGUUCUGAAACUAAAGGCUUUUUACGGAAGUAGGAGGAGACUGCAAGAGGCUAUAUGGAGCAGAAAUGUGGCUCCUUCAAACUUUCACCAAUUGGCGUUCUGCCGGACUGUGACUUGGAGGAUUCCAGCAGUGUCUCAUUCACCCAUGAGCCCCAGGGUCUAGCACACAUAGUGUCUGGCAGACAGUGAGCGCUUUGUAAAUAUUUAUGGAAUGGGACCAACCGAUGGAGGCGUCUGAGACCUAAAUAAUUAUAAUUACAAAUUGGCAAGUGCUGGCACGAUGACCACAGACCAUUAAGGGCGCUCCCAGAAGAGUGGGGGCUGGGGAGGAUUGGCCAGAAUGGCUUCCUGAAAUUCAGGAGCCCUGGCACUCUCUGGGGUACACAGAAAAGAUCUUCCACAUCCGGCUUUUGGAUAUUUAAAAACAGCUUCAUGCUCCAUUUUUUUCAUGUCCUUCCUGUGGAAUGAUUUCUAGGCUUUUCACUAAGUUGAUCGCUCCCUGCAGACUUGUAGGAAGGCAAAUAAUAGGUUAGCACCUACUGGGUUCAAGCAUCUCCUAUGAUCUCCAUUAUCUGAUUUAAUUGUGUCUUUAUCUCAUUUAAUCCCCACAACAACUCUCUGAGACUAAGGCUAUUAUCCACAUUCUACAGAUUAGAACUUGGUAAGGUUUGAUAACUGGCCCAAGAUCACACCAUUAGGGAGUGACAGGACCAGUAUUUGAACCCAGAUAGUCUAGCAGCAAAAGAUGCUUUUAAAAAUUUUCACUUAAAAGAAUAACAACAACAGCAACUAACAGUAUGGAGGGGGCCAGAUAGUUUUCUGUGUUUUACAUUUAUUAACUCAUUUAAGUCAUUUAAUUGCUAUACACCUAGAUGUCAUCCUUUCUAUUAAUACAUUGUUAGUACUGAAAAGUGAAGAGAAUGAUACAACAAACACCCAUGUACUCAUCACCUGGCAUGAAAAAAAGGUUAAUGUUAAAGUUGAUAUUAUCCAGCCACAACAAUCUUGAAAAAGAACAAAGUUGGAGAACUUGGCCCAGUGCGGUGGCUCAUGCUUGUAAUCCCAGCAUUUUGGGAGGCCAAGGCGUGUGGAUUGCUUGAGCCCAAGAGUUCAAUACCAGCCUGGGCAACAUGGUAAAAAUACAAAAAAUUUCUACAAAAAAAAAAGUUUCUACGAAAAAAAUACAAAAAUUAGCCUGGUGUGGUGGUGCUCGCCUGUGGUCCCAGCUACUCAGGAGGCUGAGGUGGGAGGAUCACCUGAGCCCAGGGAGGUUGAGGCUGCAGUGAGCCAAGAUAGCACCACUGCACUCCAGCCUAGGCAAAAGAGCAAGACCUUGUCUCAAAAAAAAAAAAAAAAAAAAGUUGGAGAACUUACACUUUCCAAGUUCAAAAGCUACAGUAAUGAAAACAAUGUGGUACUGGCAUAAGGAUCAACAUGUACAUCAAUGGAAUAGAAUUGAGAGUCCAGAAAUAAACCUGUAUGUUUACGGUCAAGGUAUCAAGACAAUUAAAUAAGGAAAUAAGUUUUUUUCCCCACAAAUAGUGCUGGGACAUCUGGAUAGCCACAUGCAAAAGAAUGAAUUUGGACUCCUAUCUUUUAUUGUCUACAAAAAUUAACUCAAAACGAAUCAAAGACCUAAAGAUAAGAACUAAAACUAUAAAACUCUUAGAAAAAACAUAGGUGUAAACCUCUAUGACCUUGGAUUAAGCAAUGGUUUCUUACAUACAACACCAAAAGCACAAUCAACUGAAGAAAAAAUAAAUCAAUUAGACUUCAUCAAAAUUAAAAAUUUGAGUGUCAAGGCCCUAUCAAAGUUAAAAGAUAAAUCACGGAAUGGGAGAAAAUUUUUGCAAAUCAUAGAUCUGGAAAGGAUCUUGUAUCCAGAAGAUAGAAGAGCUGUUUUUCUGUUGUUGUUGAGACAGAGUCUUGCUCUGUCAUCCAGCCUAAAGUGCAGUGGCAUCAUCAUAGCUCACUGCAGCUUCCACCUCGUGGGCUCAAGCAAUCCUGUCACCUCAGUCUCCCGAGUAGCUGGGACUGUAGGUGUGCACCACCAUGCCUGGAUAACUAAAAAAAAUUUUUUUUAUAGACGAGCUCUCACUAUGUUGCCCAGGAUGGUCUUGAACUCUUGGCCUCAAGCGAUACUCCCACCUCUGCCAUCCAAAGUGUUGGGAUUAGAGUGAGCCACCUCAUCCAGCCUAUAAGAACUCUUGUAAUUUAAUAAUAAAAAGACAAAUAACCCAAUUUAAAUUUGGGCAAAUGACUGGAAUAAGCAUUUCUCCAAAGAAGAUAUACAAAUGCCAAGAAGCACAUGAAAAGAUAGUCAGCAUCAGCCAGGCAUGGUGGCUCAUGCCUAUAAUCCUAGCACUUUGGGAGGCCAAGGCAGGUGGAUCACCUGAGGUCAAGAGUUUGAGACCAGCCUGGCCAACAUGGUGGCACCUCGCCUCCACUAAAAAUACAAAAAUUAGCCAGGUGUGGUGGCAGAUGUCUGUAAUCCCAGCUACUCAGGAGGCUGAGGCAAGAGAACUGCUUGAACCUGGAUGGUGGAGGUUGCAAUGAGCCAAGAUCGCACCACUACACUCCAGCCUGGGCAACAAGAGCAAAACUCCAUAUCAAAAAAAAAAAAAAAAAAAAGAUACUCAGUAUCAUUAACCAUUAGGGAAAUGCAAAUCAAAACUUUCAAACCCACUAGCAUGGCUAUAGUUUAAAAGACAAUAACUAGUAUUAGCAAGGAUGUAGACAAAUUGGAACCCUCAUAAAUCACUAGUGGGAAUAUAAAUAGGUGCAGCCUCUGUGGAAAAUGGUUUGGGAGGUCUUCAAAAAGUUCAAUAUAGAGUUACCGUAAGACCUAGAAAUUCCACUGCUAGCUAUAUACCCAAAAUAAUUGAGAACAUUAUAUAUACUUGUACAUGAGACCAGGAGCAGUGACUCACACCUAUAAACCCAGUACUUGGGGAGGCCAAGGCAGGAGGAUCCCUUGAGCCCAGGAAUUUGAGACCAGCCUGAGCAACAUAAUGAGAUCCUAUCUCUACAAAAUAUAAAAAAUCAGCUGGAUGUGGUGGUGUAUGCCUAUAAUUCCAGCUACUGGGGAGGCUGAGGUGGGAGGAUCGCUUGAGCAGAGGAGUUGGAGGCUGCAGUGAGCUAUGAUCAUACCAUUGCACUCCAGCCUGGGUAACACAGCAAGACUCUGUCUCAAAAAAAAAAAAAAAAAAGGUGUAGCUGGAUGCAGUAGCUCACGCCUGUAAUCCCAGCACUUUGGGAGGCCAAGGCGGGCAGAUCACGUGAGGUCAGGAGUUUGAGACCAGCCUGGCCAACAUGGUGAAACCCUAUCUCUACUAAAAAUACAAAAAUUAGCUGGAAGUGGUGGCGCACACCUGUAAUCCCAGCUACUCAGGAAGCCAGGAUGGGAGAAUCGCUUGAACCCAGGAGGUGGAGGUUGCAGUGAGCCGAAAUUGUACCACUGCACUCCAGCCUGGCCAAUAAAAUGAGAUUCUGUCUCAAAAAAAAAAAAAAAAAGAUACAUAUACAUAUACAUGAAUGCUCAUAGCAGCAUUAUUUAUAAUGACCAAAAGGUGGAAAUGUAUCAGUCCAUUCUCACACUGCUGUAAAGAAUUGCCUAAGACUGGGUAAUUUAUAAAGGAAAGGGUUUUAAUUGACUCACAGUUCCGCAUUGCUGGGGAGACCUCUGGAAACUUACAAUCAUGGCAGGAAGCAAAGGAGAAACAGGCACCUUCUUCACAGGGUGGCAGGACGGGAGUGAGUGCAAGCAGGGGAAAUGCCAGAUGCUUAUAAAACCAUCAGAUCUCCUGAGACUCACUCAUUAUCAUGAGAACAGCAUGGGGGAAACCACCCCCAUGAUCCAAUUACCUCUACCUGGUCCCGCCCUUGACAUGUGGGAUUAAUACAAUUCAAGGUGAGGUUUGGGUGGGGACACAGAGCCAAACCAUAUCAGGGAACAACCCAGGUGUUUAUCAGUCGACGAGUGGAUAAACAAAAUGUGGUCUGUUCAUGCAGUGGAAUAUUAUUCUACCAUAAAAAGGAAUGAAGUACUGAUACAAGCUACAGCAUGGAUGAACCUUGUAAACACUAUGCUAAGUGAAAGAAGCCAGUCACAAAAGGCCAUAUAUUAUAUGAUUCCAUUUAUAUUAAAUGUUCAGAUAGGCACAUUCAUUGAGAUCUGUGGUUGUCAGGGGCUAGAAGUAGGGAGUAAUGAGAAAUGACUGCACACAGGCACAGGUUCUGGAAUUGGAUAGUAGUGAUUGUUGAACCGCCUUGUGAAUCUGCUAAAAAACACUGAGUCAUACAUUUGUAAAUGGUGAAUUUUAUAGUAUAUGAAUUAUAGCUCAAUAAAAAAAGAGAGAGAAAAAAGUUGAUAUUUUCUUCAUAGAUAGCUCCAUGGUUCUCAAACAUUUUGGUCUCAAAACCCCUUUAGACUCUUAACAAUUACUGAGGGCCCCAAAAAGCUCUUGUUUAUGUAUUUUGUUUUUGUGUGCUUAUGUUCAAUAUCCAUUGACAUUUACCAUGUUAGAAAGUAAAACAGAAAUUUGUAAAAAUAUGCAUUAUUUCCUUUAAAAUAGCAUUAAUAAACCAUAUGCUGUACAUGUUAUCAUAAAUAACAGUUGAAAAAUAAUUGUAUUUUCCAAAACAAAAGAAUUAGUGAGAAGAGUGACAUUGUUUUGCAUUUUUGCUGUCAAAUGUCUGGCUGAGUAGAAGAUAGCUGCAUUCUCUUACCUGCUUCUACUUACAUUCAAUGUGUUGAGAUAUGUUGUUUUGGUUGAAAUAUAUGAAAAAAGUCUGUCUUCACACAGAUACGUGGUUGAAAAAAGGAAGACUAUCUUAAUAGCCUUUUCAAAUAAUUGUGGAUAUUUUUCUUAGAUUACAUACCAAAACUGGACAAGUAUAGUUUCUUAAAGGUUAAUUGCAAUGUGGAACCUGAAACCAUAAACUUUUCAAUUGGUCUAUCAUGAUCAUGUACUUUUUUUUUUUUUUUUUCAGACAGAGUCUUACUUUGUCGCCCAGGCUGGAGUUCAGUGGCACAAUCAGGGCUUACUGCAGCCUCAACCUUCCAGGCUCGAGUGAUCCUCCCUGCUCAGCCCCUGGUGGGACUACAGGGAUGCGCCACCAUGCCCAGCUAAUUUUUUUUUAGUAGAGAUGGGUUUUUGCCUGCCUGCCUGCUUUCCUUCCUUCCUUCCUUCCUUCCUUCCUCCCUUCCUUCCUUCCUUCCUUCCUUCUUCAGGGUCUUCCUCUGUCACUCAAACUGGAGUGCAGUGGUAUUAUCUCAGCUUACUGCAACCUCCACCUCCCGGGUUCAAGCAAUUCUCAUGCCUCAGCCUCCCAAGUAGCUGGGAUCACAGGUAUGUGUCAUGAUACCUGGCUAAUUUUUGUGUUUUUUCUAAAGAUGGGGUUUCGCAAUGUUGACCAGGCUGAUCUUGAACUCCUGGCCUCAGGUGAUCCACCCACUUCGGCCUCCCAAACUGUUGGGAUUACAGGCGUGAGCCAUCAAGCCUGACCUCAAGUUCCCUCUUUCUAAUCUGGAAUUGAGAAUAGCACUAGCAUCCAGGCCCACCUCAAAGGGUCAGACUGAAGUUCAGAUGGCCCAAGGAUGCACUAGAAAGUUCUUUAUGCAAUGUAAAUGAGAGUUGCCUACUCUUGUCAGGCUCAAGUACCUUCACUCUACAGGCAACUGGCUACAGGCUUCUCACCCUGAGCGGUGGUCAGCUCAGCCAACUCACCCUCUCCACCCUCCUCCCUCCCUCCUUUUUCACAGGAAACUUAAGAGUCAGAUCUCUUCCACUGCAAAUGGAGAUUCUUGAUUUGGAGAGAAUAAGAUAAAGGACCUGACAUCAAUCCUUACUCUUGAAAGCAUGUUGUUACUUUCUAAAUAUUAUUGAAAUUAAAAAAAAAAAAUCUUCCCCCCAAAUCAGUAUAUUUGAAUUGCUAACAAGCCUCUCUGCCUUGUUUUUAUCUCAAAGAAUAAAAUGCUGAGCCCUGCGUGGGAUGCUAGAUGCUAGAGAACUCCCCCAUCUCUCUCUCUCUCUCUCUCUCUCUCUCUCUCUCUCUCUCUCUCUCUCUCUCUCAGUUCUGAACAAGGAGGGAAGGGGUAAAGAGUCCUUAGUGAGCGCCUUCUGCAGGGACAACCCUUCUGGACCCAUCUGGAUGGGAGCAGCCAGGAGAGGCAAGAAGCAGCUGUAUUUGGUGGCACUGCCACAGCGUCUCCUCAGCCCCAGCAAGUGGCCUUUGGUCUAGAGUUGGUCCAUCUGGCCCGCACAAGGCUCGAAUCCAGCCCUAGAGACGCUCCCCGCCUGCUCCAGGUGGCCGGCACCCUAGACGGGGCAGGAAGGGCAGGCGCCAAGCCUCAAGUCUCAAACACGGUGCGGGGCUGCGCGGCAAGGAGAAACCCAGGAGAUGCUCGGGGUCGGGGCCCAGGGCAGGGAAAACCCUCAGCUCUGGUCAAAAGCCAAGUGAGCGAAGGAGGCGAUGCAACGUCACCCUGGUGGCCAAGGCAGGCACCCAGGUCUCGAGGUUCCAGGAGAGGGACGCGCUGUGACCACCAGCCCCCUAGGCUCCUGUCUGCUCGAUGAGCGUCCACUCGCCAGUUCCAGCCGCGAGCGCCCCCAGCACUCCCGGAGCUGGGCCGGGCGCCGCCUUCCCUCGGGCGGCCGGCAGGGGUCAGUGUUUGGCCGCAGGUGAACAGACAGCGGCCGGGGCUGAAUCUGGUUCUUCUAGCUGGGUCUUGCCCCUGCCAAUCUGUCUGGACUUGUCCCCUGGCCGUUAACUGGGUUCUAGCCUAUCGAGACUCCUCAUAUUCUCCCCACCCCCGACCACUACCUCCAUACUGUCCUUCCUAAGUCACCAGGCCUGCACCCUUCCAGAAGCAUAGAUCCCUGGAUACAUGGAUAAUUACUUCCUGGCCUUAUACCAGACAGUGAUGCGAGACUGGAAAGAGGACAUGGCACGGAGUCAGAAGAUUUGAGUUCAAGUUCCUGCUCUGCCAAUUACCAGCUGUGUGAUCUUGGUCCAGCCGAGCUGCCAUCUCUUCAAGGAAGUUUUCCCUGAAGCCCUCAGGUAGACCCGUUUUUCCAUGGCGGCCACAUCAGCAUGCAGCACAUUUAAUUGGAAGUCUCCACAUAUGAGUUGGUUUUCCUUACUUAAAAUAUGCUUAUCAUCCCUUGGAGCACUUGAAAAUAUUGGCUAUUUCCUUCUGACCCCCAUGGUUUCUUUUAAAAAAUUUGCUGUUGUUUGAAUUAUUUUUCUCUACAGGUAUUGACUGCUGCCUCAUGAAGGCUGGUCCUGUCUCUAUAGUGAAUAUUGUGCACCUCAGGGUAGAAUGGAGAGCAGAAGACUUCAAAUCAGGCAGUCUGGGUUCAGACCCCAAUUCUAGUGCUAAAUAGCUACGUGACUUUAGGCCGAUUGUGUGUGACUUCCCUGAGCCCCAGUCUCUUUGCCUGCAAAAUGAGAAAAAUUAUAACAAUGUCAUCGGUUGUUCUGAGGAUUCUGAGAGGAAUUAGUAGGAGAGAGAACUAAGAAGCUGCGGGCCUCUACAGAGCCAUUCAACUGGCAUUUCGGAAGAUGUUGCCCAUCAGAGUCAGACCUUCUUAGCAUCUUCCGGCUGGGCCCAAACUUCCCAAGACCAUUUGGACAAGGUCAUCUCUAUCCCACCAUGGCCUCCUCCCAGAGGAGGAGAAGAAUCAUGCUGUUACAGCAGAACCGAAGAUUUGGGCAAGGGAGCUAAUGAUUAUGUUCUGCGUCAGGUCAGAGAUGGGCUGGGAAAGCCACUCCAAAGCCAAGACAAGCAGUUUCCUGGAAAAAGAAGGCUGCGCGGAGCCCAGAGUGGCCUGGAUCCUGCCUCAUUUCCUGGACCAGCUCCUUAGGUGGUUACUGGAUUGCCAAUAAAGCAGAGCUUAUUAAAGUCAACGAGCUCAGGCUUCAUCGCCGCCAUGGUAUCCAAGCACCAGUCUGUCUGGGAUUUCAUUUGCCAGAUGGACAAAGGAGAGGUUGUUCCAAUACAUAUCCUGAGUGGUGGGGGUGGGGAGAGAAGGGGAAGAAUGCUCUCUAGAGAAUUCUCUUUGUCCUCUGAAGUAAAUAGAGAUCAUGUCUUCCCCAGCCACACUCAGUGAUCUGAAUCUCUUGGACUGUGGAUUUUUCCUUUACCUGCUGUGAAGCCUUGAAAAGUAUGAAUUAGCUUGAUAAUGAUCCUCUAAAGAUGUUCAAGAGUUAAAGACGUGUUUAAGUUCUUCAGGCAAUCCAAUAUGACUACGGGUUUCCAAAAAUUUGAAGGAAACUGAAAAUCAUAGUUCCCAAACCAGAUAUUUUCCGGUGUCCAGAUGUUCACUGGCAUGCAAACCAAAUGUCUGGAUUAUGAGCUCCUUUUUUCAUUUCUUUUUAUCAGCUUACAUCCAGAUGUUGGAUCCAACUGGUCAGAGGCCUGGGGCAGAGACAGAAAUCAAAUCUAGGGUGUUCAUCUAGAGUCUCCUGCUCCUCCAUUCCUGCUUCCUCCUCACGCUGCCCCCACAUCCUCCCCAACUCACCUUCAUGCUACAUCUCGGCAAAUACAGCUCAUAUCCAGGCACGGUGCAGCCCUUGACAGCUGGGUCCGCAAAGGCAGAUCGGGUAUAUCUUUAAAGAAAAGUUAUCUUAACCAUUGAGAAGCCUUCCUUCCUCAGAGGAGAGCACCUCCCCAGCAGACCUCCGAGGAGACCAAGGGCAGGACAGGAAGGGUGAAAGGAAGUUUCAGGACUGCAGGAAAUAAGAGCUUGGAGGUCAAGGGAGAGAUCAGAUAAAACAUGAAUCUGAUCAGCAUCCUAGUGGUCUAGAGUGGAGACAAUCUGCGGAGUCAACCUCAGUAAGGACACACAUAGAGAAGAACCAAAGCCUCUAAAGACGAAGCUGAGAAGUGUACGGUCGUAGAAGACUCGUGUCUGUUAUUCUUAAAAGCUCAAGGAGAUGUUCUGCCAAUUGAAUGGAAACUGUCCAUAGUGGGGAGCAGAGAGCCUCAUCUUUUCUGGAACUGAACAUCCAUCCUUAAGGCCAGAUUUCUCCCAUCACCAACUUUAACUCCUGCCCUAGCCCUCUCUCUUCCUUUUCAAAACCCUCUCCACCCAGGAAGGGAGAUUCUGGAGCCAAGACUGUACCAGCCACACCUCCCCAGAGUUGUUAAGGAAGGAACUCGAAGCCAGGGGUGGUCUUCUGGCAAGCACCCCCACUACCAGUAGCAGGACAGAUGUGUUUCUAAUGGACUACACUAUCCCCGGAGGUCACAUGAUUCAGGCUGCCAAGGGUACCUGCCCUUGGGAAAUCAACUCCCGAAGAUAAAUUGGGAUUGGGUCCUGAGAAGAUCCAUGGAAGCCCAGAGGACCCUGCCUCUCUCUGUUGCUUCAUGCUGUAGAGGCAGUACUGGGGAGGGCCUGCCCCACAUCCGGCAGGGCAGCUGGAACCAUGUGUUUGAUGACACUCUGCUCCCUCAAUGUGGAGCCUCAUCCUCAUCUCACAGUCUAGCAGGCCUCUGGUGGGUUAGGCUUGUCUCACCCAGUGUGUGAGUUUUUUUGGAAGUGACCUGAUUUUGGAGUUUCCCUCCAAGCCUUUCUCAGGUACAUGCUUUCUCUUUUAUUCUGUCUUCUUUUUUUGAUCUUCUUAAAUCUGAUUUUCUCCUUUUUCCCUCUCUUGUCUCCAUCUUUUUUCCAGUCUCUCGCUUCUCUUUAUUUCUCCCCAUAUUUCACUCUGUUCUCUCACCCCAACCUUUCCCUUCUGUUUCUCUCCCUCCCUCUCUUCCCACCCCCUGCCUGGCCUUCCAUAUAUCAAGCAGAGUUUUAUCACCUUAUGCAGGGGCAGCCCUGCCACCUGCCAUAAAGUUGAUAGGCUAAUGACAUUUUGUGGAUAUUGCCAUGUCACAAGUCCAGGACAGCAUCAAAAAUAGCCCUGAUGUCUAAACCACUUCAGCUAUCUUUUUUAUUUUUAAAAUAAAUACAUUCACAUGCUUUUAAGAAACUAUAAAAAUAUAUAAAGUAAAAAGAUCUUUCUCUCACACUGUCUCCACCUCUCCUGGUCUCACCGUUGUGCUUAGGGGAAACCAUUGUGAUUAGUUUCUCCUGUGUCCUUCCAGAGUGUCUUUAUGCAAAUGAAAAUUAUUGUGAUAAUAUAUUCCUAUUUUCCCCCUUACUACACAAAAGAUAGACUACCAUAAUCCCAUUCUGCACUUUUUUUUCACUUGAUAAUAAAAACAUGAUUUUAUUAA